rnacentral:rRNA from 1 species
UUGGACAACCAUGGCAGUCACGGGUAACGGGGAAUUAGGGUUCGAUUCCGGAGAGGGAGCCUGAGAAACGGCUACCACUUCUAAGGAAGGCAGCAGGCGCGUAAAUUACCCAAUCCUGAUUCAGGGAGGUAGUGUCAAGAAAUAACGGACCGAGGCCCUCGGGCUUCGGGAUUGCAAUGGGCCGAAUUUGCACCCCUUAGCGAGGAUCGAUUGGAGGGCAAGUCUGGUGCCAGCAGCCGCGGUAAUUCCAGCUCCAAUAGCGUAUAUUAAAGUUGUUGCAGUUAAAAAGCUCGUAGUUGGAUUUCUGGGAGGAUGCUAAUGUCCGUCGUUGUACGUGUGCAGCAGCGUCCUUCCAUCCUUCUGUUAACGCCUCUUGGCAUUCAUUUGCUGGUGGCGGGCUCAGAUAUUUUACCUUGAGAAAAUUAGAGUGUUCCAGGCAGGCUUGCGCCGGAAUACAUUAGCAUGGAAUAAUAGAAUAGGACUUCUCUCUCCUUUGUUGGUUUGAGGGAACGGAGUAAUGAUUAAUAGGGAUAGUUGGGGGCAUUAGUAUUUAAUUGUCAGAGGUGAAAUUCUCGGAUUUGUUAAAGACUAACUUAUGCGAAAGCAUUUGCCAAGGAUGUUUUCA